UGUCUUGAUGUUGUUGAUCGUCGCUUCCCUCGCACCUCUUACACGUACACUUUCAUGCGUUCAUCUACACGACUCGUAUACCGUGACAUUCGACAAACACAAAACUUAACCGACCAUUCAAAUUUCUUUCUUCCGAUGUUGCUUCAGGGACGACUUCUGCGGAUAACAGUUGGAGAAACAUGACAUUAGUAUCAGGUGUUGAACUUCCUUGAGAAUCGAAUAUGAACGAUAUACGAGGGACACAGCACGCACAGCUAAUAUGUCAUUGCGGUUCGUUCGUGUGUACAUUUCGUGCGUUCGCUGUGAAUACCAAAAAAAGAGCACUGAUUGCCAGGAUCCGGGAGAAUUUCAAGAAAUCUCGCAAGAAAAUAUUGCAUCGAAUUAAUAGUAACGUAAAUGACGCACAAAGGCAGGAUAAGGUACCGCCAAUUGAAAUGAGAUAACGUAAAAUGUUGUCAACUUUCGUUAACCUAAGAAGAAAAUGAAUUCUGGAUGACACGAACACUCGGCGAAGAUAGUAAUAAAACGCACGAGAAUUUCAUGAAUUAUUGACUGGAAGAAUUUUUUAUACGGUGAUCUGUGACAAACACAUUCGCAGAAUAUAAGAAAUUAUAAGCCUCGUCACCGACUCCAAUCCGAGUCACCGAUUUCCUUUGCUACGUGAAAUGUAACAUUAAUGCUUUACGUAUCGGUAUACAAACGAAAUAAAGUUGAUCAUACAAAUCGACACGUCACCAAUGGUUUAACAAUUGCAUUUGUUCCGUUCGCGAACUCCCCCGUAAUACGAUUCACGGUGUUGUUUAAGAAUUGACAAAGAACGAUCAUGUUAAUUUAUUCAUCCAUAAUACGAUAACGUUUUUUUUUAGACAUGUAACAAUUAUAUAACAUACGUACGAUUUUCAAAAAAUUAAUCACAUGCUGCGUUGUUAUCUUCAAGUUCACACGAAAAGUGGUCGGAAUAAGAUAUCGCCUAUUAUUAGAUUCGCUAUUUCAGGAUCUUGAAUACUCUUCAGAACAAUCACACUGCUCCGGAAACCAUUCGAAACGUGAUUGUCGCGUACGGAUAGACAUUAGCUAGCCGGUACACAGAUCACAAUUGGUGCAACACCAAAACACACUGGGUCCGUUGAGAUAACACCUUUAAAAUCUUCGAUGGAAAAGGAACAUGACACGCAGAGUCUAAAUACGCAGACAGGCAGACAAGCAAGCAGAGCGAUGUGGCACAAGAAAACAGCACAAGUAAUACUCAGUCGGUAACUUCGACACUAUGGAGCACUUCAUAAACACGAUACGUUUGAUAACCUUAUAACACGAUAAAAUACGCGUAUUGAAGAUGUACAAAAGUAGAAACAAAAAUUCCAAUAAUCGACGAAAAAACUGGGAGACGUCAGAGAAACUUCCACGGCACAGACAACCACGAAUCAAUGAACGACCAACAAACGAAUGCACAGUCGAUUAGAAUACAUUUGAAAUGUUGCAGAUGAACGUUCGCAUACGAGCAUUCAGCAAGCACUAUUGUGUACUUUCUGCAUUAAUCGUACCCAACUAUGAGAAUUCGUACACAUUUCAAUAUUACACUUCGUCACAGCACUAUCGUUCAACUGUUUCAAUUUAGACACAAUUACAGUAAUAAUUGUUUUCUCUUUCUUCGUUACUCUUCUUGUUUAUCCAAACCGAAGAAUAAACACAAUAAACGGAAAGAGAGUAGGAAGAGAGGGGGAAAACAAUGCACUUCAUAAUGUAAUUGAACAGUGUAUGUCAGAUAAUCAUGAGCAUGUGUAAAGAGAAUCAAAAUGAGAAAUUAUGAACAUUCACACGUAUUUUUCGAAGAAAGAAGGAUGAAGGAGGAUCGUGUGUUACGAAGUAUGCGUGUGUGCAUACGCGCGCGCUCGCGCUUGCGUGCGUGCAUGCGUGUACAUGUGUAUGUUGAGUAUAUGUGUAUUAGACGCGCGUAUAUAGACGAGAAAAAGGAUAUAAAAAAGGGGCGCAGAAUAUGUUUUAGCAAUUGUUUCGGAACACCAACAUUUCUUUGUCCUCACUGUGUAAAAGCUAAGCUCCUUGCAGUAGUUGAACACGAUCGAAAACGUACUGGUUAGUUUUACGACACAUUUCUCUUCUCUUACCCGAACUACUCCGUGGUAUUCCUAAGCGGCGGCCACGGUGAUUAAAAAACACUCGCGUUUUACAUUCGCGCCCCAACGAAGGGUAGUCGAAAUCGUACGGUCAGUCCAACGUUUUCAGGGCCGCCAGGUUAACGUCACGAAAUCCACCGACACAACCAUAGAUCCAAACGGUGGACGGACGGACGUAAGGACGGACGGCUGGCUGGCAGCAGGCAAAGCGGAAUCACAGAGAGAUUCGGGGGAAGGGGUAUUGAAUGCGGCGGGGUGAGGGUAAAGUUUCUAGACACGGGGCAGGUGGGGUCAUAAGGGACCGGGGACGUACACGUUAGAGUGGGGUGAAAACGAACGAGAACGGGCGAGCAACCGAACCGACCGACAACGUAGCGUCGCGGGGGACGGAGGUCUACGCUAGCUCAGGACCGUUUUAUCCUGGUUCCAUUAGUGCCACUCUUCAUUGCCCUCGACACAUUUUUCUCUUUUUUCCCCUUAUUUCAAUACUUAUUAUUAAGCAGUAAAUGUCUUUUGAAUCGUUCGAUUAAUAUAGAUGGAGUUUACAAUACUGAAUAAGAAUUUGACAAUCGGGAACAUAUACUCUUUGUACUAACGGCACGGCGAAAACAGAAAUACAUGUAUAAGUCUUGAAAGAUCUCCGCGACUUAAAGGUGAUAGCUUACGAACCAAAUCCUAAAUAGAUGUUGCGAAAAAUAUCAUAAAUUGUUUUGGAUGGAUAUGUUUACAUGUGUUAUAGAUUGUUUUACAAAAUGUUAUCGAUUAUGGUCCUUGAAAUAGUAAAUAAUACCUCUGUAACAUUCUUAAAUUUCAUAUAUAUUGUAGCUAUUAUGCAAACACAUUUUCUAAUUCUGCGUUUAUUUAAGCUUUGUUAUUCCAUAAAAAGAUGUGGAAAUAGAAAGUUUUCUCAAUCUAUUGAAAUGUUGGAUGAAAAAUACUAAAAAUUCAAAAUCAAAGCAAUACGAACAUAGCAAUAUGAAACUUACAAAAUAAAAUAAACGUUCUACAUGUAUGUAUAUAUUAUGUGACCUGUUAUUGCACACAGGUCACAGAAAUUAUGUGAUUUUUGUUGAACGAUUUUUAUUUUUUAACUAUUUUUUAUACGUUUAUAUAUGUAUGUACCACGCUUUAGCAUUUGUUUGACGAGUAGCCCAUAUGUUUCGCCAUCUAACCCCUAAAAUUGUAGAAUUUGCCAUCGGCUAAACUCCUUUUAAUGUAAAUAGAAUAAGGACAAUCAUUACAUGUUACUGUAUCAGA